GCCGCCUUAGCUCAGUUGGUUAGAGCGCCGGAUUGUGGAUCCGGAGGUCUCCCGUUCAAGCCGGGAAGGCGGUACCA
rnacentral:tRNA from 1 species